rnacentral:rRNA from 1 species
CGGCCUUCGGGUUGUAAACCUCUUUCAGCAGGGAAGAAGCGAAAGUGACGGUACCUGCAGAAGAAGCGCCGGCUAACUACGUGCCAGCAGCCGCGGUAAUACGGAGGGGGCGAGCGUUAUUCGGAAUUAUUGGGCGUAAAGGGCGCGUAGGCGGCCCGGUAAGUCAAAGGUGAAAUCCCUCGGCUCAACUGAGGAACUGCCUUUGAAACUGUCGGGCUUGAGGCCGGGAGGGGGUAGCGGAAUUCCCAGUGUAGCGGUGAAAUGCGUAGAUAUUGGGAGGAACACCGGUGGCGAAGGCGGCUACCUGGACCGGUUCUGACGCUGAUGCGCGAAAGCGUGGGUAGCAAACAGGAUUAGAUACCCUGGUAGUCCGAGCCGUAAACGAUGGAUACUAGGUGUUGUGGGUAUCGACUCCCACAGUGCCGUAGCUAACGCGUUAAGUAUCCCGCCUGGGGAGUACGGUCGCAAGACUGAAACUCAAAGGAAUUGACGGGGGCCCGCACAAGCGGUGGAGCAUGUGGUUUAAUUCGAUGCAACGCGAAGAACCUUACCAAGGCUUGACAUGUCGAGAACCCGGUGGAAACACUGGGGUGCCGCAAGGAGCUCGAACACAGGUGGUGCAUGGCUGUCGUCAGCUCGUGUCGUGAGAUGCUGGGUUAAGUCCCGCAACGAGCGCAACCCUCGAUGCCAGUUGCCAACGGGU